ACCAACCUCUCCUAGCUUCAAACCUUUCUUCUGCAGCUUUCUCACCUCUCUUAGCCUUCAUAGAAUUGAAGAAAGUUAGAGCCUUGCUCUGGAUUGGGCUUUGGCUUAAGGGCAUGUAAUGGCUGGUUGAUAAUUGUGG